AAUAGGAGAAUGAUAAAUUAGAUUUUUCCUCCUAAAUUUUAGUUUUUUCCUCCUGAAAAAAUUUAAAUUCAACAAAAAAUGCUAAAAAUCAAGAGAAAAAAUCUGAUUUGUCAUCCUCCUAUU
rfam:Gossypium hirsutum cultivar TM-1 unplaced genomic scaffold scaffold290.1, whole genome shotgun sequence